rnacentral:misc_RNA from 1 species
CUCUCUCUCUCUCUCUCUCUCUCAGAGUCACACAUACACACAGAAAGCUGUGACUUUUCCACUGCAUUAAUCUCACUUUCAACAAUUGAACGCAAGCCAUUCCCAGGUCCCUUGUAGAAAACCAAUUUAUUGCCUAGUGCAUCUAAUAUUGGGUCUCCCAAUGAGCAUCCAUAAAUAGGAAUGUAACAAGGCCUUGUCAAUGGAUUCUCCACCUGAUGUCUUUCAUUGAUGAUAACUGACAAAUGUAAUCCCUGGAAAGAGUUGGAAGAAUCAAACCAAUGACUUUUUUGCUAACUUGGGUACCAAGCGAAGAAGAAAGCUAUAUGGAAUCUUGUCCACUAGAGCUUCCUAACAAAUGAGAGGGACCAAACUCCAACAACCAAUGUAGAUAGGAAAAUCAGAUCUCAUAUAUGCAUAAUCAGAUAGUAAUAUUUGUCUCUCACUCUGCAAUCCAUGUGUAUAUGUGGGUAUGUCCUUUAUUAAAGAAAGAAUAUGAAACGUUUUACUAAGAAGAAACAACUGCAACAGGGCUUAUUGGUUUCACAUGCUAAUGCUAAAAGUUCGAAAACAACAUCAAUUAAAGACUAUUUUUCACACUUCCGUUUAGGAAAUACAACUAAUUUCCUUUCAGAAGUUACUUGCAUAAAAGAUGUCCCAAUGCAUGAGACUCCUAGGCUAACAUUGUGAGUUCUAAGCCCUUCUCUUGGCUAUUCCCAUAUGGUUGAACAUGUGAUCAUCACCAAGUCACAGUGGAUAAUAAUAAUAAUAAUACUAUGUAUUCUACUUCCGGAUCAAUGUUAUGGUCAUUUUGUUUGCACGCUUAAGGAACUGGGUACUUUGUCUUAUGGCUAUUCGUUUCCCUUUCCAUGUUGAUAAUUUACAACUGGGUUUCCAAAACCUUCUCUUAGCGUAUGACAGUAAAAUGCAUGCCUAUUUGCCAAAAUAAAGAUUGAAUGUUUCUUCUUUUUCAUUUUUAUCAUGAUGCUGAUAAUAUGCUUCACCAUCAUUAUCACCUUCCUCAAACCUGGAAGAAACACAAGAAGUGAACAGUAACAUUUAUAACAAGAGCGAUAUGCCGAUAUCCAUAUUUCCUGCUUUCAUCACUCUUAGGAUUAAACCAGAAGAAAAGAAAAGAGACACCCAAUAGGUUAAUUAUCUGGUAGAUUCUCCACGGAGUAAAAGGAUAAAACUUUUCAAAUAGGACAAAUAUCUUACUGUUCUAUUGUUGUAGUAACUUAGUUAACUUCUCCAUUCUCCAUGCAACUCUUCCGCCUUGUUUUCUUUUCUUUUUUCUUUU